rnacentral:misc_RNA from 1 species
GAUGAAGAACGCAGCGAAAUGCGAUACUUGGUGUGAAUUGCAGAAUCCCGUGAACCAUCGAGUCUUUGAACGCAAGUUGCGCCCGAAGCCAUUAGGCCGAGGGCACGCCUGCCUGGGCGUCACACGUCGUUGCCCCCCCAUCUACUCCUUCGGGAUUGCGGGGGGCGGAUGAUGGCCUCCCGUGCGCCUCGUCGCGCGGUUGGCCUAAAUGCCAAGUCCUCGGCGACGCACGCCACGACAAUCGGUGGUUGCGAAACCUCGGUUGCCUGUCGUGUGCGGUCGUCGCGCAUCGAGGGCUCGAAAAAAUGGCCGGGCUUCGGCUCGACUUUCAACGCGACCCCAGGUCAGGCGGGGUUACCCGCUGAAUUUAAGCAUAUCAAUAAGCGGAGGA